rnacentral:rRNA from 1 species
AACGAACGCUGGCGGCAUGCCUAACACAUGCAAGUCGAACGGAUGGUAGCAAUACCAUCAGUGGCAGACGGGUGCGUAACGCGUGGGAACCUACCCAGAGGUUCGGAAUAACUGCGGGAAACUGCAGCUAAUACCGAAUGUUGCCUGAGGGCUAAAGGAGCAAUCCGCCUUCGGAGGGGCCGCGUCCGAUUAGCUAGUUGGUGAGGUAACGGCUCACCAAGGCGACGAUCGGUAGCUGGUCUGAGAGGAUGGCCAGCCACACUGGAACUGAGACACGGUCCAGACUCCUACGGGAGGCAGCAGUGGGGAAUAUUGGACAAUGGGCGCAAGCCUGAUCCAGCCAUGCCGCGUGAGUGAAGAAGGCCU